rnacentral:rRNA from 1 species
GCGAGAGACGCUGGCGGCGUGGAUUAGGCAUGCAAGUCGAACGGUAUCAUCCUUUCGGGGGUGAGAGAGUGGCGAACUGGUGAGUAACACGUAGGUUAUCUACCCUCAAGACGGGACAACCCAGGGAAACUUGGGCUAAUACCGGAUGUGAGCAACUUUUAGUUGUUUGAAAGGUGGCGUAAGCUGUCGCUUGGGGAUGAGCCUGCGUCCUAUUAGUUAGUUGGUGAGGUAACGGCUCACCUAGGCAAUGAUAGGUAGGCGGCCUUAACGGGUGGUCGCCCACACUGGGAUUGAGAUACGGCCCAGACUCCUACGGGAGGCAGCAGUCGAGAAUAGUCUACAAUGGUCGGAAGACUGAUAGUGCGACGCCGCGUGAACGAUGAAUCCCUUCGGGGUGUAAAGUUCUUUUAUAUGUGAGCAGUGCUUCUUAUAUUAACAGUAUGGGGAGAGAGAUAUUAGCAUAUGAAUAAGCAACGGCUAACUCCGUG